rnacentral:miRNA from 1 species
CCGGUCCCCUGCAUGGCCACAGGAGGGUGGCCAGCUGUCCCACACGAUGCUCAGCCCUGCCCUCCCGCAGG